AGAGAGAGACUAAGGCUAAAACAACCUUAGUCCUUCCCUUUUGUAUACUGGGGUUCCUGUUUUUUUGAAGUUAAAUGUCAUUUGAAAUGCACAUGGUCUUUUCUAUAAUUCUAAACUCUGAUAAUGCAGUUUAUCAAAAUGAAGACAAUUGUUGGCAUGCAUGACUCAAGAAUAGAAUAAUUGUUAGGUUGUGUUUUAGCAUUGUAUCCUUUGUAAGGAUCCGUAGUAAAUGUGACCAUGAAAUUUAAUUUUUUUAAAUGAGGAUGAUAAUGUGCUUAUUUACCUUUCUGAAAUGGAACUGUCUGAUCUUUCAAUGAAAAUACUUCAUAGAUACUGAAAUCCCUUGGAAAGUAGAACUAUUAGCCCUGACAAUUUGGGCCCCUUCUUUAUGGGUUUGGGAAUAUGUGUGUAUAUGUUUUGUUUCCUCUGAACUUUCUAAUAGAACUUCCUGGGAAUUGAAUCUCUCCACCUGGAAUAUCAAGUUCUACUGUCCUCAUUUCCAGUGAUGGUUUGCAAUGCAAAUUGUUGGGUUGGUAACACAUAGCACCAUAACCAUGGUAACCAAAUGAAGACAAGUUUGCUUUACUUCCUCAGCAAAGUACUUUCCAGCCCUGCAUUCAGACCUGAUGCUACUGCCAACAGUCAAGGGCAUUAAAGGAACAGCCAGAGGGUUCAUAGAAAUAAAAACACAACUGGACCCAUUGUAUUCAUUUCCCACACUCCUCCCCUUAGUCCAGAAUUUGUUACUAAAAACUUCUGCCAUUUCUAACUACUUUCUAACUGCUUUCUUGGAGGCAAGGGUAGAGAGAAUCACCAUGUAUCUUUAUCCCCAAUUUGACUAUAGAUUUUGGCAAGCAGACUAUCCUGGCUUUCUGUGUCUAACUUCGAAAUAGGAGCAGAUAGAAACCUGGUCACAGUUCUGUGGUCACAAGGACUUUUUUAGUGUUAGCAGCUGUGAUGCUCAAGGAGACAGGAAGGUGUCCAAAUAAAACCACUUUCUGAGAACAACUACAGCAAGCUACAAGGGCCACUUCUCUGCCGAAAUUCCUUUCCUCUGGUAUAGUAAUUCUUAUAAUUUGUUAGUUUGUUUCUCGCCUGUGGGGGAAGGGUAUUGGUCCUCUGUUCUCAUUUUCCCUCCGUUGGAAUGGAAGGGCAGCUGUGGCAUGUUCUGAAUCUUCUUUACCUGCAGCUAUGUGACCGGGUGCUUCCCAGGAAGAAAGACUAUUAGCAGUAAGGUAAGCAAUCUAAUUGUCAUGGAUCCUGGCCUAGAUGAUUUCAGCACUCCCAUGACUGCCUGGGUGGCCUCCAUUAACAUGGAAAGGUCAAAAACACAAGGGAUGGGAAUGCUCUAGACUCAAGAUUCUUGGUUUAUUUCCUCUAAGUUUGAAUACCAUUUCAAGUAAUGUUCCUGAGAUGAGGUGCAGAGAUUAUAUUUUCCUUCCUUUUGUAGCUAUUGGGACUUGUGUGUCAUUUUCACUGAUUGUUUAUUGCUGCAGUGUGGCUCAGUAGAUGAUUUUCUAACUCUGCCAUUCCUUCUAUCAUUAUUUGUUGGCAUUCUACUCUAAAGAAUACUUCUUCAUCUCUCACAUGUCUGCAGAUUUUAGACAUUGGUACAUAUUACCUAACUUCUCUCCAGGAGGUUUGACUAUUUAAUAUUUCCACAGUGAUGAGUGUCAAUUUCCCACCUUCUGGAUGUUCUCACACUAAUGAAUUUCUGAGAAUCUAACAUGGUAACCUAUUGUCUUUUUAGCCUUCACUUCCUUGUACGUUACAUUUACAUUUUUUAGCCAUUUCUAGAUUUCCUAUUUUUUAAUUGCCCUAUUACAUUGCUGCUACUUCUAUGUAUCUUUUUUUAUUGAUUUAUAAUUGCAUGUCAUAUAGUAAGUACAUAAAAACCUUUAAUUUCACAUAUUCCACCAAAAUUUUUAGUUUUUUUUUAACAUUUUGACAUUUUUAUUAUCUUUGCAAUAGGAAAUUUUAAAUUCUUAACUGGUUAAAUCCAUCAUGAUUUCCCUUCUUCGCCUUUGGUGUCAUUUCUCCACAGGUGUUUACCACCUCAAGAUUAGAAAAAUGUUUACCAAUAUUUUAUUCUAGGACUAUUUUUUUUUAAGUUUAUUUAUUUAUUUUGAGAGGGAGAAAGAGAGAGAGAGGGAGAGAGGGAGAAAGAAUCCCAAGCAGGCUCUGUGCCAUCAGCACAGAGCCCAGUGCAGAGCUUGAUCUCAUGAACCAUGAGAUCAUGACCUGAGCUGAAAUCAAGAACCUGAUGCUUAACCAACUAAGCCACCCAGGCACCUCUAGGACUAUUUUUGUUUCAUUUUUCUCAUAUUAAAUCCUUAACACUAUUGAAAUUUAUUUUGAUGAAUUAUUUAGGGCUCUCUUUUGUUUUGCUUUGUGGUUUUUUUCAUUAAAUUUUAAAUUUAGAAAAUUUAAAUUUAGAAACACACAUACAGUUCUAAGAAAUAAUACAAAGUCUACCUGCCUUAAUGCAAAAAUCUUUUCAACAGUACAUGGAUAACCUAUUUCUGCCUAUGUAGAUUUUUAUCUGGGACAGCCAUCGACAGGUAUAAAGUUGUGACAUCAGGAUAGUUUCUUACAAUCACUUAUAAGGAAUACUAUCUGUUUCUUUCUCCACAUUCCCUGAGAUUUUAUGGUUAUGAUCAUAGUGAGAAAGGAAGGAUGAUGAUAUCUUUGAUGUCAGAGGAGUAAAGUACAUGCUAGAAUUUGCCUUUGUGAAUAAUCCAGGUAGGAAAGGAGAUUUAGACCCAGGAGCUGGCUUAAAAUUUGAUCUCUUCUCCUCACUACCAGCUAUUUCUGUGUGUUUUUAGAUGCAACACUUUCUUGUUGUAGUUAAGAACUUAACCAUUAUGAUGGUUUCCUAUUGGACUGAAAUAUGAUGCAAUUUGUAUUGUAUAACAGUAUGUUUUUAAACCUGAGGUGUGUGCAUCUGAAAAUCUUAAAGAAAAUGGCUUGACCAGUCACUUUUUAAAGAUAUUAGGAAAGGUAUAUAGAAGGAAGGUGUGACAGAGCCCAAUGAAAAGUAUUGUUAAGAAAAAUAGUCAUCUGCAUUGGUCAAGGUUCUCCAGAGACAUGAGAUUGUGUGUGUGUGUGUGUGUAUACAUAUAUAUACAUACACAUACAUACAUACAUACAUAUGUGUAUAUGUAUACAUAUAUGUGUAUAUGUAUACAUAUGUAUAUAUGUGUAUAUGCAUAUAUGUGUGUGUAUAUAUACAUAUGUGUGUAUAUGUAUAUGUGUGUAUGUAUAUAUACAUAUAUGUGUAUAUAUAUAAUUAUAUAAUACAUAAUAUAAUUACAUACAUUUAAUUA
rnacentral:lncRNA from 1 species